rnacentral:rRNA from 1 species
CCAAUAGCGUAUAUUAAAGUUGCUGCAGUUAAAAAGCUCGUAGUUGAAUUUCGGGACCAUCAUGUCGGUCGUGCCUCGGUACGUACUGGCAUUGUUGGUUUCUCCCUUCUGACGAACCAUGAUGUCAUUUAUUUGGUGUUGUGGGGAAUCAGGACGGUUACUUUGAAAAAAUUAGAGUGUUUAAAGCAGGCUCACGCUUGAAUACAUUAGCAUGGAAUAAUGAAAUAGGACGUUUGAUUCUAUUUUGUUGGUUUCUAGGAUUGACGUAAUGAUUAAUAGGGAUAGUUGGGGGCAUUAGUAUUCAAUUGUCAGAGGUGAAAUUCUUGGAUUUAUUGAAGACUAACUACUGCGAAAGCAUUUGCCAAGGAUGUUUUCAUUAAUCAAGAACGAAAGUUAGGGGAUCGAAGACGAUCAGAUACCGUCGUAGUCUUAACCAUAAACUAUGCCGACUAGGGAUCGGAUGAUGUUAAUUUUUUAAUGACUCAUUCGGCGCCUUACG